GUCUAUCCCAUGGUCAAGGACCUGGUGAC
rnacentral:piRNA from 1 species